UACGUAGGGUGCAAGCGUUGUCCGGAAUUAUUGGGCGUAAAGAGCUUGUAGGCGGUUUGUCGCGUCUGCUGUGAAAUUUCGGGGCUCAACCCCGAACUUGCAGUGGGUACGGGCAGACUAGAGUGUGGUAGGGGAGACUGGAAUUCCUGGUGUAGCGGUGGAAUGCGCAGAUAUCAGGAGGAACACCGAUGGCGAAGGCAGGUCUCUGGGCAUUAACUGACGCUGAGGAGCGAAAGCAUGGGGAGCGAACAGG
rnacentral:rRNA from 1 species